rnacentral:rRNA from 1 species
UACGAAGGGGGCUAGCGUUGCUCGGAAUUACUGGGCGUAAAGCGCACGUAGGCGGCUCUUUAAGUCGGGGGUGAAAUCCUGGAGCUCAACUCCAGAACUGCCUUCGAUACUGAAGAGCUCGAGUCCGGGAGAGGUGACUGGAAUUCCCAGUGUAGCGGUGAAAUGCGUAGAUAUUGGGAGGAACACCAGAUGCGAAGGCGGGUCACUGGGCUGAUACUGACGCUGAAGUGCGAAAGCCAGGGGAGCGAACGGG